UAGCCUGCCCAGUGACCCUGUUUAACGGCCGCAGUACUCUAACCGCGCAAAGGUAGCAUAAUCACUUUGUCUUUUAAUGAAGACUCGUAUCAACGGCAUCACGAGGGUUCCACUGUCUCCUUUUUCUAAUCAGUGAAAUUAAUCCCCCCGUGAAGAAGCGGGGAUAAACCUAUAAGACGAGAAGACCCCAUGGAGCUUUAAACCUAGCUGCACACC
rnacentral:rRNA from 1 species